rnacentral:rRNA from 1 species
UACAGAGGGGGCAAGCGUUAUUCGGAAUUAUUGGGCGUAAAGGGCGUGUAGGCGGCUUGGCAAGUGGAAGGUGAAAUCCCUCGGCUUAACCGAGGAACUGCCCUCCAAACUGCUUUGCUUGAGGCCGGGAGAGGCGAGUGGAAUUCCCAGUGUAGCGGUGAAAUGCGUAGAUAUUGGGAGGAACACCAGUGGCGAAGGCGGCUCGCUGGACCGGUUCUGACGCUGAUGCGCGAAAGCCAGGGGAGCGAAUGGG